AUGAGUAAUGCUACCUUAUCAGUUUGUUCCUGGAACAUUAGAGGUCUGGGCGAUGUUGACAAAUGUACGGAUGUGCUCUCCGAACUUUCAUCUAUUAAACCUCAUCUGCUGCUUCUGCAAGAAACGAAACUUGCUGCCCCGUCUAUGCUCAAAAUCAGAUCUUUUCUCCCUCGGUCUCUCGAUAUGCAGGUUACGCUACCAGCUACUGGAACUUUCGGUGGGCUGCUCACAGCCACGAACUCCUCCUUCCUUACGAUUCUCUCCCACACGAACUACGCCUACUGCUCGACGGUUCAAGUACAAUCUUUGGCAAGCCCCCUAACUUUACACAUCACAAACGUGUAUGCCCCCAUGAACCGCGCACUUAAGCUUGAAUUCCUAGCUGAAUUGGCCUCCAUCGCUCCACCUGAUCACUCCCCUUGGCUCCUCGUCGGGGACUUUAACCUUAUUCGCUUCCCGAACAAGAAAAACAACAACAACUUUCACUCCAACGAGGCCACUGCCUUUAACGAGACCCUUAACACACUUGCCCUCCUAGAACUCCCCCUUCUAGAUCGUCGGUUCACCUGGUCUAACAACAGAGAAUCACCGGUGCUAGAACGCCUGGAUUGGGCUUUUUUUAACCUAGCUUGGAAUAAUGCCUUCCCCAACUCCAACCUCACGACCCUCACACGCACCACCUCCGAUCAU
rnacentral:rRNA from 1 species